rnacentral:lncRNA from 1 species
CCCAGCCACCAUGCUUCCUUGCCGCCAGGUAGAAAGGCUGAGCCCAUCCUAGAUCUUUGUUCAAGUCAUCAGUAAAUCUGCAUGGAGAGCAAACAAGCAUCUUUCAGCAGAUGGAAGGAUUUUGGAAAGGUCAAAGAUCAGCAGAGGCCAGCAUGACAGGAAUUGCUGUUACAGUAUGUCCCAAGGGCUCUUGCUUGGUGUGUUCAGGGCAAAAGUGAACUCUGGUAGAUCAACUGGAGGGGCGGGGAGAGGCAGGCCAUGACAGCUAUGAGCUAACUUGGGUUGUGGCCAUGCGUUCACUCCUUGUGUAGAUGGGAGUUUGUGACUCUCUUUACUACAGCAUCUUUUGCUACCGUAGUAGAUUGUAUUACUGUUUUCAUCCUUAUCCUUGCAGAAGGUUGACACAUCCCCAUCUUUGCUCUGUUGAACUCAGAGUUGGCUGGGCCACAUGAGUUGCUUUGGCCAAUUAAGUGUGAGCAGAAGGGUUGUGUCGCUUCUGAGCAUAAACAUUAAGAUCAAGUGUGUGAUUCACCAUUUUCUCUUCUUUUAUCUGUCACUUGGGCCAGCAGUGUUCUAGGCAGAGACCAAUCCCAUCAGCCCCAGUCCUGGAGUGAAGGAGACAGGAGAGAGCUGUAGCUGACCUGUAUCAGACAUUUUUCAUGAGCAAGAAAAAAACAUCUGCUGUUGUAAACUGGGAAUAUGGAUGAGACACACCAGAGCAUUUCCUUCUCCAUGGAACUCUUCUCAGGAGGGAGGAAUGGAGACACCUAAUAUUAGUUCUCCCCUGAUACCUUAAAUCAUUUCUGAGACUGGAAAGGGCCUAACUAAAUGAAAUUGAAUUAAAAUAAAUGGAUUUUCUCUCUCUUACAAACAAAUAGCAUUUGAAAUUAGACACCUAAAUCCUCCUCUUCUUUCUCUCUGGUCCCCUAAUUUUCCACCAAAAGAGUGAGGGCCCAUUUACAACACAAUAAGCCCUCUAACAUUCUCCCCAAUACUAGUAGUUCCUUAGGAAUGAAGAUUUUGAGGCAGAUAGCAGCCCAACUUGACUUCCCACCCUGAAACCAGGGCCCUGACUGAUUCAAAAGGAAUAGGAGGCACACAAUGCAAAUGACACUUUCCUUCCUAAGGCUUGGAAGUAGGUAAUACGCUAUACUAUCUGUAACAGGUGAUUCACUAUAGCAUUGAAGACUUAGAGGAAAAUUACAGAUCAUUUAAUCCAGUGAUUCUCAACCUGGCUCCAACCUCAGAGGUUCUGAUUUAAUUGGUCUAGAAUUGGAUUUGGGCAUCAACAUUUAACAACAAACUCCUCAGUGACUCUAAUGUGCAUCCUGGGUUGAAAUCUAAUCCCAAGUCCCUUUAUUACCUCAAAGGCUUAGAGGGAUGAAGGUCACAUGGCUAGUUAAUGGCAAAAGUCAAGACUAAAACCUUUCAUCCGUGAUCUUCUCACUGCAGUAUGUUGCUUCUCAAUGAUUGUGUUUUUCUAGAAGAACCACUUGCUCCCAUGAAUUUAAUUAAAAGAAAGAUGAC